rnacentral:rRNA from 1 species
GACGAACGCUGGCGGCGUGCUUAACACAUGCAAGUCGAACGGAAAGGCCCUGCUUUUGUGGGGUGCUCGAGUGGCGAACGGGUGAGUAACACGUGAGUAACCUGCCCUUGACUUUGGGAUAACUUCAGGAAACUGGGGCUAAUACCGGAUAGGAGCUCCUGCUGCAUGGUGGGGGUUGGAAAGUUUCGGCGGUUGGGGAUGGACUCGCGGCUUAUCAGCUUGUUGGUGGGGUAGUGGCUUACCAAGGCUUUGACGGGUAGCCGGCCUGAGAGGGUGACCGGCCUCAAUGGGACUGAGAGACGGCCCAGACUCCUACGGGAGGCAGCAGUGGGGAAUAUUGCACAAUGAGCGGAAGCCGGAUGCAGCAACGCCGCGUGCGUGAAGACGGCCUUCGGGUUGUAAACAGCUUUCGCCUGUGACGAAGCGGGAGUGACGGUAAUGGGUAAAGAAGCACCGGCUAACUACGUG